rnacentral:rRNA from 1 species
GUGGGGAAUUUUGGACAAUGGGCGAAAGCCUGAUCCAGCCAUGCCGCGUGCAGGAUGAAGGCCUUCGGGUUGUAAACUGCUUUUGUACGGAACGAAAAGACUCCUUCUAAUAAAGGGGGUCCAUGACGGUACCGUAAGAAUAAGCACCGGCUAACUACGUGCCAGCAGCCGCGGUAAUACGUAGGGUGCAAGCGUUAAUCGGAAUUACUGGGCGUAAAGCGUGCGCAGGCGGUUAUAUAAGACAGAUGUGAAAUCCCCGGGCUCAACCUGGGAACUGCAUGUGUGACUGUAUAGCUAGAGUACGGUAGAGGGGGAUGGAAUUCCGCGUGUAGCAGUGAAAUGCGUAGAUAUGCGGAGGAACACCGAUGGCGAAGGCAAUCCCCUGGACCUGUACUGACGCUCAUGCACGAAAGCGUGGGGAGCAAACAGGAUUAGAUACCCUUGUAGUCC